UCUCUCUAUAAGUUAAAAUAAUAGAACAAACACGUAAAAAGCUGGAAAAAAAUCAUUGAAGCAUUAGGGACACAAGCCAUACAUUAUAAAGUAUUACAGAAUUAUAAAGUUGUCUACAAGUAGACGAGAUAAACAAAUCACUCGGUCAAUGUAUGAACUUUAUACUUUGUAAAACAGGAAAAAGGUUUAUGAAAGAAGAAGAAGGAGAAACACAUUACUUUUUACGUGGAAAAGGUAUGGGAGAUGUUUGUUCCGCUCGGUAAUUCACGGCGCUUGGCUGAGGUCAGGGAAGCAGUCUCCGACCGAGUGCCGCCAGAAAGAUCUUGCUGAUGAACUCAGAGCUAAAGUUGUUGAUGAAUUCAUCAAGAGGCGAGCCGACACCGAAUGGUUCCUCGAGGGUGAUUUCGACAACUAUGUCAUGCAGAUGCGGCAGCCUCAUAUCUGGGGAGGAGAACCCGAACUGCUCAUGUGCUCACAUGUCCUACACUGAUUUUUCCUUGCUCAAAUGAAACCUUUUUGCUAUCAAUAUAUCAAAAUUUUCUCA